AUUGAACGCUGGCGGCAGGCCUAACACAUGCAAGUCGAGCGGAUGAGAAGAGCUUGCUCUUCGAUUCAGCGGCGGACGGGUGAGUAAUGCCUAGGAAUCUGCCUGGUAGUGGGGGACAACGUUUCGAAAGGAACGCUAAUACCGCAUACGUCCUACGGGAGAAAGCAGGGGACCUUCGGGCCUUGCGCUAUCAGAUGAGCCUAGGUCGGAUUAGCUAGUUGGUGAGGUAAUGGCUCACCAAGGCGACGAUCCGUAACUGGUCUGAGAGGAUGAUCAGUCACACUGGAACUGAGACACGGUCCAGACUCCUACGGGAGGCAGCAGUGGGGAAUAUUGGACAAUGGGCGAAAGCCUGAUCCAGCCAUGCCGCGUGUGUGAAGAAGGUCUUCGGAUUGUAAAGCACUUUAAGUUGGGAGGAAGGGCAUUAACCUAAUACGUUAGUGUUUUGACGUUACCGACAGAAUAAGCACCGGCUAACUCUGUGCCAGCAGCCGCGGUAAUACAGAGGGUGCAAGCGUUAAUCGGAAUUACUGGGCGUAAAGCGCGCGUAGGUGGUUUGUUAAGUUGGAUGUGAAAGCCCCGGGCUCAACCUGGGAACUGCAUCCAAAACUGGCAAGCUAGAGUACGGUAGAGGGUGGUGGAAUUUCCUGUGUAGCGGUGAGAUGCGUAGAUAUAGGAAGGAACACCAGUGGCGAAGGCGACCACCUGGACUGAUACUGACACUGAGGUGCGAAAGCAUGGGGAGCAAACAGGAUUAGAUACCCUGGUAGUCCAUGCCGUAAACGAUGUCUACUAGCCGUUGGGGCCUUUGAGGCUUUAGUGGCGCAGCUAACGCGAUAAGUAGACCGCCUGGGGAGUACGGUCGCAAGACUAAAACUCAAAUGAAUUGACGGGGGCCCGCACAAGCGGUGGAGCAUGUGGUUUAAUUCGAUGCAACGCGAAGAACCUUACCUGGUCUUGACAUAGUAAGAACUUUCCAGAGAUGGAUUGGUGCCUUCGGGAACUUACAUACAGGUGCUGCAUGGCUGUCGUCAGCUCGUAUCGUGAGAUGUUGGGUUAAGUCCCGCAACGAGCGCAACCCUUUUUCUUAUUUGCCAGCGGGUUAAGCCGGGAACUUUAAGGAUACUGCCAGUGACAAACUGGAGGAAGGCGGGGACGACGUCAAGUCAUCAUGGCCCUUACGACCAGGGCUACACACGUGCUACAAUGGUCGGUACAAAGGGUUGCUACCUCGCGAGAGGAUGCUAAUCUCAAAAAGCCGAUCGUAGUCCGGAUUGGAGUCUGCAACUCGACUCCAUGAAGUCGGAAUCGCUAGUAAUCGCGGAUCAGAAUGCCGCGGUGAAUACGUUCCCGGGCCU
rnacentral:rRNA from 1 species